UGUGCGGGCCGGGCCCCUCUGACGGUCGUUUACGGCGACUGUGAUGUCGGACCGCAUCG
rfam:Sphingobium sp. TKS plasmid pTK1, complete sequence.